GACGAACGCUGGCGGCAUGCUUAACACAUGCAAGUCGAACGGAAAGUCCUUUCUUUUGUGGCGUACGCGAGUGUCACACGUGUGAAUAUCACGUGAGUAGCCUGCCCUUGGCUUGGGACUAACUUCAAUAAACUGUGGCUAAUGCCGCAUAGGAACUCCUGCUGCCUGGGGGGGGUUUGAAAGUUUCGGCGUUUGUGGAUGGGCUCUCGGCUUAUCAGCUUGUUGGUGGUGUAGUGUCUUACCAAGGCUUUGACGGGUAGCCGGCCUGAGCGGGUGACCGGCCACAUUGCGACGGAGAUAAGGCGGACAAUACUACGGGAGGCAGCAGUGGGGAAUAAUGCACAAUGGGCGGCAGAAUGAUGACGCAACGCCGCGUGGGGGAUGAAGGAGGUCGGGUUGUAAAGAGCUUCCGCUUGUGAAGAAGAGUGAGUGACGGUAAUGGGUAAAGAAGCACCGGCUAACUACGUG
rnacentral:rRNA from 1 species